ACGCUGGCGGCGUGCCUAAUACAUGCAAGUAGAACGCUGAAGAGAGGAGCUUGCUCUUCUUGGAUGAGUUGCGAACGGGUGAGUAACGCGUAGGUAACCUGCCUUGUAGCGGGGGAUAACUAUUGGAAACGAUAGCUAAUACCGCAUAACAAUGGAUGACACAUGUCAUUUAUUUGAAAGGGGCAAUUGCUCCACUACAAGAUGGACCUGUGUUGUAUUAGCUAGUAGGUGAGGUAACGGCUCACCUAGGCGACGAUACAUAGCCGACCUGAGAGGGUGAUCGGCCACACUGGGACUGAGACACGGCCCAGACUCCUACGGGAGGCAGCAGUAGGGAAUCUUCGGCAAUGGGGGCAACCCUGACCGAGCAACGCCGCGUGAGUGAAGAAGGUUUUCGGAUCGUAAAGCUCUGUUGUAAGUCAAGAACGAGUGUGAGAGUGGAAAGUUCACACUGUGACGGUAGCUUACCAGAAAGGGACGGCUAACUACGUGCCAGCAGCCGCGGUAAUACGUAGGUCCCGAGCGUUGUCCGGAUUUAUUGGGCGUAAAGCGAGCGCAGGCGGUUUGAUAAGUCUGAAGUUAAAGGCUGUGGCUCAACCAUAGUUCGCUUUGGAAACUGUCAAACUUGAGUGCAGAAGGGGAGAGUGGAAUUCCAUGUGUAGCGGUGAAAUGCGUAGAUAUAUGGAGGAACACCGGUGGCGAAAGCGGCUCUCUGGUCUGUAACUGACGCUGAGGCUCGAAAGCGUGGGGAGCGAACAGGAUUAGAUACCCUGGUAGUCCACGCCGUAAACGAUGAGUGCUAGGUGUUGGAUCCUUUCCGGGAUUCAGUGCCGCAGCUAACGCAUUAAGCACUCCGCCUGGGGAGUACGACCGCAAGGUUGAAACUCAAAGGAAUUGACGGGGGCCCGCACAAGCGGUGGAGCAU
rnacentral:rRNA from 1 species